GAUGAACGCUAGCGGCAGGCUUAAUACAUGCAAGUCAAGGGGGUAGCAAUACUACCGGCGCACGGGUGAGUAACACGUACAUAACAUACCAUAUACUGGGGUAUAGCUUUGGGAAACUGAAGGUAAUCCCCCAUAACAUUGCGAGAGGGCAUCUGAUUGCAAUUAAAGUUUCGACGGUAUAUGAUUGAUGUGCGUUUGAUUAGCUUGUUGGUAGGGUAACGGCCUACCAAGGCGACGAUCAAUAGCUGGCGUGAGAGCGCGACCAGCCACACUGGAACUGAGACACGGUCCAGACUCCUACGGGAGGCAGCAGUAGGGAAUAUUGGACAAUGGGCGAAAGCCUGAUCCAGCCAUGCCGCGUGAUAGAUGAAGGCCCUCUGGGUUGUAAAUAUCUUUUAUCUGGGAAGAAACAAUCUUAUUCUUAAGAUCUUGACGGUACCAGAGGAAUAAGCACCGGCUAACUCCGUGCCAGCAGCCGCGGUAAUACG
rnacentral:rRNA from 1 species